rnacentral:rRNA from 1 species
GGGCCCGCACAAGCGGUGGAUGAUGUGGAUUAAUUCGAUGCAACGCGAAGAACCUUACCUACCCUUGACAUGCUCGGAAUCCUGGAGAGAUCUGGGAGUGCCCGAAAGGGAGCCGGGACACAGGUGCUGCAUGGCUGUCGUCAGCUCGUGUCGUGAGAUGUUGGGUUAAGUCCCGCAACGAGCGCAACCCUUGCCAUUAGUUGCUACGAAAGGGCACUCUAAUGGGACUGCCGGUGACAAACCGGAGGAAGGUGGGGAUGACGUCAAGUCCUCAUGGCCCUUAUGGGUAGGGCUUCACACGUCAUACAAUGGUCGGUACAGAGGGUUGCCAAGCCGCGAGGUGGAGCCAAUCCCACAAAGCCGAUCGUAGUCCGGAUUGCAGUCUGCAACUCGACUGCAUGAAGUCGGAAUCGCUAGUAAUCGCAGGUCAGCAUACUGCGGUGAAUACGUUCCCGGGCCUU